GACGAACGCUGGCGGCGCGCCUAACACAUGCAAGUCGAACGAGCGAGAGAGAGCUUGCUUUCUCGAGCGAGUGGCGAACGGGUGAGUAACGCGUGAGGAACCUGCCUCAAAGAGGGGGACAACAGUUGGAAACGACUGCUAAUACCGCAUAAGCCCACGGUGCCGCAUGGCACAGAGGGAAAAGGAGCAAUCCGCUUUGAGAUGGCCUCGCGUCCGAUUAGCUAGUUGGUGAGGUAAUGGCCCACCAAGGCGACGAUCGGUAGCCGGACUGAGAGGUUGAACGGCCACAUUGGGACUGAGACACGGCCCAGACUCCUACGGGAGGCAGCAGUGGGGAAUAUUGCACAAUGGGGGAAACCCUGAUGCAGCGACGCCGCGUGGAGGAAGAAGGUCUUCGGAUUGUAAACUCCUGUUGUUGGGGAAGAUAAUGACGGUACCCAACAAGGAAGUGA
rnacentral:rRNA from 1 species